CAUUUAUAUUGGACGCACUUUUUACAUAGGCGUACAUUAAAUAGUGUUUGUGCGUAGGCCUACAUCAUAAUAUUAUAUGAUGAUACAGUAUUAUGAUUGGUGGUAAUGUUACUGUUACAUUUACGCUUUACAAUUCCAUUAAAAAAACAAGAUGGAGGUUAAAGUCAUCGUUAUGCUGUUUGUAACCAUCGGUUCUGUUGAGUCAGAUGCAUUUUCAGUCCGAUUGGCCGGUGGAAGUACAAUUUAUGAAGGACGUGUU